AAUAGUGACAGGGCUCAUAGGGUAAUAGAUCCUACAGUGUCUUUUACAUUGUCUCAGAGAAGCCCUGCUUCAUUAAAAAGAAACAUAACUAGGCUCUCUUUGAAUUUCUAAAUCUUGCUAAGUCUAGUUUUCUUCCACAGAAUGCUCACAGACAACUGACCUACUGAGUUUUUCUAAGAAACAAAACCAUACAGGUAGCUCUACACAUAAGGAACAGAGUGGAUGUUGGGAGUGAGAUACCAGGUUCAUGGUCUCCCUUGGGCUGUUUUGUUCAUGAAUGUUUAGUAGUAGCUCAAAAGGAUACAGCUUUCAAACAAUAAAUUAAGGUCUUUAAGAGUGGACCGGUGGUGAGAAGGUGCUUGGUCCCAUUUAAAAAAAAAAAGAUUCAUCUAAUUUGAUGUAGUAGCAAUGAUCUUUAAAAAAUGGCAAUAUCCUGUAAAGCAGAUUUUGCCUCUGGAACAUUGUGUUCUGUCCCAUGGACUAAUGAUUUGGUCCGAGAAGGGGUGGAAGGGAGAUGUGGAGGAAGGAAGGCUUGUCUGGACCGGUGAUGAGUACCACAGGGUAUCUGAACCAGGAUAUUGUGAGAACUGUUUACUGUUGUUUUUAAUUUCCUACCACAUUGAUUUGAAGAUUUGCCUAUCAGUGUGGCCCUGGCUGAUAAGGAGGGUGUCACAGGUGGUAGAAGAUGCUGGCUUCAGUAUCUUCCAUCUUUAGACAGGGGCAGAUUCACUUAGAGCAGCAGUCAGCGCAGACAGAGAUGAGCUCUAGGUGCUGGUGAAGGUGUCUUCCCUGAGCUCCUUGGUUAAGGAAGAUGUACACCUUUAGUAAAGGGAGAUUUUUGCCCCUGGGAUAUUGUCUUGUGUCCUAUGGAGUAAUGAAUACUCACACAUAUACACACACGAGAGGCGAGAUGGAGGAAGGCUUUUCUGGGUCAGACAUGAGAACAUGGGGUAUCUGAACUAAGAUAUUGUGAUUAAAUCCGUGUAUGACUCUGAGACCUUUUACAACUAUCUCUUCUUUAGGGAGCACUUGGUAGGGUUGUGUCUGAUAGACGUGUGGAUACUUUGGUUUCUUUAUUUCUAUACUAGCAGAGAGGUGGGUCAUAGCAGAGACCAACAAGCUACAGUUAUUCUCAGCUAGGGUUUUACUUUUCUUACAAAAUUAGCCUGUGGAUUUCAAAAGUAUGAAUAAAAAAGAGGACAAAAUGGUCAACUAUUACAAAGGAAUAUAAUGAGACAAAGGUUGUUGUUAAAUCUACUCAACAGUUGGGACUCUUUGCAUUUUGUUUAGGGGUACAUGGUCAUUAAGUUUUUGUCUUAUGUUGGUAACUAGUCUCACAUAGUUGUUCCUAGUUUAAUUCAAUGCCACCAUCCUAAGCAGAUGGUGGUCAUUCCACACCUUUAGCUGCCUUGUAGCCCCUCAGCCAUGUUUGUCCCAUAGAGCAUCACUAACCAACAGCUCACUUUGGACUCCUCAUAGCAGAAGUACAGUAGGGGACAGCAAGUGUCAGUUCUGUCAUGUGCAUGCAAUCUUGUCAAGCCUACUGUGUAGCUUCCCAUCAGACUUAAGGGAAAGACAGGUACCCAUAAUGAGACAGGACUUGACAAGAAGCCAUUCUCUAACCCGUGGCCCACAGAGAUACACAACACAAGCCAUUCGUUUUACAAGAAAAGGGCUGCUGAUAAAGUAAUCAUGACUUAUAAAUCUAUGAGUAGCUUCACCAACUCAAGACAGUGUUUUUGAAGAAUAGACAGCCAUACCUGUGUGUCUGAUGCCUGUUGGUGGCCGUGUCUUUGGCAACAACUGGGUAAAGUCUGAGGUCAUUUCCUCAGUGAGAGACUGACACUAUUUUUUUGUAGAAAUUAUCUUUGAGUAGAAGUCUAAAAAAAUUUAGCCAACUUGCCCCUGGGAUUUUUGGCUCAGUAGUAUGUAAUCUGUUAUUUCAAGAGUAUUAAUACAUAAAUAGGAAGUAAGUACAUAAAAUAGUGACGACACACCUAUUUGAGCAAAAGGUAGUGCAAUGAGCCAAAGAUAACUCAUGUUAUUGCCUACCAAAAAGCAAGUGUGCUUGUUAAUUUCACAUAACAUCGGCUAGAGCCUGCAACCCUCUUUCAUAUUGAGUAUAUUAGUAGCGAUAGUUAAUAGAGUUGCUUGGGUGUUUGUUGAUCAUUAACAAAAGUACAUAAGCUAGCCAUUUGUUAACUAUCCACCUGCUUGACAGAUGGUUGUAAAUGUUGUAGAACUUACUCUUGGGCAUUCACCACAUUGAAAAUCAGAAUAUUAACUCUAAACUUUAUUAUUACAUCGUGCUGCUUGACCCACUAAAUUCUAAAUCUUUUUUCCCUCUUGUGGUGAAUGUAGGGCCCCUGAUAUAAUUAUUUACUGUGCAACCAUUGUCCUGAGUCAGGAGCAUAGAUGAGGGUAGGUAAGCCCCUGAGUUCCUGGUUUCUGUCUGGAGCCUUGUUUAUGGCUGCUAGCUGAUCAAUUUCAAAUUAGUCAUCGUCACCUACCUAAAACAGUUAACUUACAAAAUCAUGUUUAAUCCAAAUUGGCCUAGUAGAUAUGAUUUUAAAAGAAAAAAAGUAGUUAUUUAACUUGCCCCCAGAACUUUAGUGUUCCUUUUUGCAUUGUGGUUGAGCUCUGCUCCCCAAUAGUAGUUCUUUGGGAAGGCCCCAUAUAAAUGCUAGCUCAUGAGUCUAUGCGGAUUUCUGAGGUGGAAGAUGGGAUAGAAGAGCUUCAUUCAUUAUGUUUGAUGGAGCCGUAUUUGACAUCUAGAUGGAUUAAAUAAAAGUGAACCACACAAAAAUUAGAUGUGGACUGGAUCCACACCAAAGUUGCUAAUGUGCCUUGGAGCAUCCGCCCUGAUGGAGGCAGUGUGGUCUGAAUAUUCUGAGAAGAGAUAGCCCCAACCCAAAGAUCUUGUUUUAGGGACUGUGUAUUGUUAAUUAUGAAUCAAUCAGUCAAUGAAUGACGCAAACACCCAGCAUAGGCCAAUGAUGAGGAGCAUGGGGUUUCUGACCGAGGACAGUGAUUAAACCCUUAUGAAAUCUGAGGACUAUUGCAAACUGGUGUCUGCAUCCUAUAGAGAGGAGUCCCCAAAGCCCGAUCUUUGUGGAUUCAUGGCACAACCCACAUUCCUGUAAUAAAAUUAGUCAUAAACAAACAAUAUAUUAAUGAAUAAAAGAUAAAAAGGAUACAAUUGGCAAAGAAUGUCAGCCUUGAAACAAAUAAAAUAAAGUAAC
ensembl:processed_transcript